CAGAUUAUUUAACACCUGAGGGUACCCAGUCUCCUUCAAUCAGCCCAGAAGUCACAACCGGAGAAAAUUCCACUACCAUUAUUUUUCCUGAUGGCGAUUAUUAUGACUGGAUAUUAGAGCAUUUCAUCUUUGGAGGUCGCCAGUCAGUUUCAAGAAGCCCAGAAGUCACAACGAAAG